GUUUAGUGAGGCUCUUUUGGAUAAUUGGUAGCGGUUUCUUGUUUUACGUAAUAUUCAAUCAAUUCGACUAGGGGAAGUUACCAAUCAUUUGAGUUUUAUUCUCUUUAUUUGAAUGCCUGAAUUUUCCGUUUCAGCAUGUGAAUUCUGCACUUGAAAUUUGUGUCUGUUCUUUUGUGCAUUCAUGUAGUAAUUAGAGUUCUUUUCAUAUGUAACCAUUUAAGCAAUGGACUUUUUGGUUGACUACACUCCUGGGCAUUUAUUUGAAUUAUUUGCAUUCUUUUGUCAAAACUUUUGUGCCUUGUUGAUGUAUUUUUAGACAGCAAUGCUUUUGUUCACAUUUUUAAUGGUCUGCU
rnacentral:misc_RNA from 1 species